rnacentral:misc_RNA from 1 species
CCCUGCCCCUGAUUGCAGCGGAAAACCCGCAGUGGCAUAAGCCCAAAAAACCGUGCGAUAAAAGAGCGACCAAAGGAAGCUCCUUUUAUAGCCGGUUUUAGGCUUAUGAAACGAGGAUUUGCAGCGGAAAGCAGGAUGAGGC